GAUGAAGAACGUAGCGAAAUGCGAUAAGUAAUGCGAAUUGCAGAAUUCCAGUGAGUCAUCGAAUCUUUGAACGCACAUUGCGCCCUGUGGUAUUCCGCAGGGCAUGCCUGUUCGAGCGUCAUUUCAACCCUCAAGCUCUGCUUGGUGUUGGGCCCCGCCCGCUCGCGGCCGGCCCUAAAGACACUGGCGGCAGCGCCUGGCUCCAAGCGUAGUACAGCUCUCGCUCUGGGGCUAGGCGGUAGCCUGCCAGAACCCCCCUUCUAUGGUUGACCUCGGAUCAGGUAGGGAUACCCGCUGAACUUAAGCAUAUCAAUAAGCGGAGGA
rnacentral:misc_RNA from 1 species